rnacentral:rRNA from 1 species
CUACGGGGUUGCUGCAGUGAGGAAUAUUGCACAAUGGGGGGAACCCUGAUGCAGCAACGCCGCGUGGAGGAUGACGCAUUUCGGUGUGUAAACUCCUUUUAUAUGUCAAGAAAAUGACGGUAGCAUAUGAAUAAGCACCGGCUAACUCCGUGCCAGCAGCCGCGGUAAUACGGAGGGUGCAAGCGUUACUCGGAAUCACUGGGCGUAAAGGACGCGUAGGCGGGUUGGAAAGUCAGGUGUGAAAUCCUACAGCUUAACUGUAGAACUGCACUUGAAACUUCUAAUCUAGAGUAUGGGAGGGGGGGAUGGAAUUAGUGGUGUAGGGGUAAAAUCCGUAGAUAUCACUAGGAAUACCUAAAGCGAAGGCGAUCUCCUGGAACAUUACUGACGCUAAGGCGUGAAAGCGUGGGGAGCAAACAGGAUUAGAUACCCUUGUAGUC